rnacentral:rRNA from 1 species
UCAAUAAGCGGCGGAAAAGAAACCAACAGGGAUUGCCUCAGUAACGGCGAGUGAAGCGGCAACAGCUCAAAUUUGAAAGCUGGCCCCCCCGGGGGUCCGCGUUGUAAUUUGUAGAGGAUGAUUCGGCGAGGGCUCCCGCCUAAGUCCCCUGGAACGGGGCGUCAUAGAGGGUGAGAAUCCCGUAUGCGGUGGGCUGCCUUAGCCAUGUGAAUCUCCUUCGACGAGUCGAGUUGUUUGGGAAUGCAGCUCUAAAUGGGAGGUAAAUUUCUUCUAAAGCUAAAUACCGGCCAGAGACCGAUAGCGCACAAGUAGAGUGAUCGAAAGAUGAAAAGCACUUUGGAAAGAGAGUUAAAAAGUACGUGAAAUUGUUGAAAGGGAAGCGCUUGCAGCCAGACUUGUCCGCAGUUGCUCAGCCGGUCUCCUGACCGGCGCACUCUUCUGCGGCCAGGCCAGCAUCAGUUCGGGCGGUCGGAUAAAGGCCCCGGGAACGUAGCUCCUCUCGGGGAGUGUUAUAGCCCGGGGUGGAAUGCGGCCAGCCUGGACUGAGGAUCUCGCUUCGGCUAGGAUGC